CAACGACACGGGAGACUCGGACGCACGUACUUUUCAAGAUGCCCCGUAAUUAUAAAAGAAAAACUGAAACUAAAUACAGUUUAGAGGAUCUCAAAAAGGCUAUAGUCGAUGUUCAAACCAAGAAACUCAGCAUUGGCAGAGCAGCAAAUACUUGUGUUCCAAAAACUACAAUAUACCUUAGUAAUGUUAGUACGUGAUUACCCCACUUGGUGUUCGGCUUUACCCGACAUCAGUUGGGUAAAACCGAACACUAAGGGUUUUGUUUUUCGGUCAUUUUGUUAUAUUUUAUUAAAAAAAAUAAUGAUGUUGAUUAGUAAUACGUUAGCUAGAUAAGUAAAGUUUAUAAUUUAAUAAUUAAAGAAACUCUGUGAUUUGA